rnacentral:rRNA from 1 species
CAUUAUCCAUCUCAAACCAGGUGCGGUCGCGGCCCCCGGGGGCUUGCUCCCGGGUGGUAGGGGUAACACCCUCACGCGCCGCCUGCCUGUACCCUCUUUUUACGAGCACCUUUCGUUCUCCUUCGGCGGGGCAACCUGCCGCUGGAACCAAAACAAAACCUUUUUUGCAUCUAGCAUUACCUGUUCUGAUACAAAUAAUCGUUACAACUUUCAACAAUGGAUCUCUUGGCUCUGGCAUCGAUGAAGAACGCAGCGAAAUGCGAUAAGUAGUGUGAAUUGCAGAAUUCAGUGAAUCAUCGAAUCUUUGAACGCACAUUGCGCCCCUUGGUAUUCCAUGGGGCAUGCCUGUUCGAGCGUCAUCUACACCCUCAAGCUCUGCUUGGUGUUGGGCGUCUGUCCCGCCUCUGCGCGCGGACUCGCCCCAAAUUCAUUGGCAGCGGUCUUUGCCUCCUCUCGCGCAGCACAAUUGCGUCUGCGGGGGGGCGUGGCCCGCGUCCACGAAGCAACAUUACCGUCUUUGAC